rnacentral:lncRNA from 10 species
GAAUGCUGGUUAAAUGAAAAAUGGUCAGGCCAGGCGCUGUAAUCCCAGCACUUUGGGAGGAUUACAGACGUGAGCCACUGCAACCAGCCCUAUUUUUAUGUUUUUUAAGAGACAGGGUCUUACUCUGUCAUCCAGGCUGGAGUGCAAUGACAGGAUCAAAGUUUACUGCAGCCUCCUGGACUCAAGCAAUCCUCCCAACUCAGCCUUCCAAGUAGAUAGGACUACAGGUACACCACCACACCUGGUUUUUUUUUUUUUUUUUUUUUAAGCGAAAUGGUUUUGUUAUGUUGCCCACAUUGUCUCGAAUUCCUGUUCUCAAGCAGUCUUCUUGCCUUGGCCUCCCAAAGUGUUGAGAUUGCAGGCAUGAGUCACCGUGCCUAGCCCUAGACUGGGUAAUUCAUAAAGAAAAGUUGACAUAGCUCAUGGUUCUGGAGGCUAUGAAGUCCAAGACCAUGGCACUGGCAUCUGGUGAGGGCCUUCCUGCUGUAUCAUGACAUGGCAAGACGCAUCACAUGACAAAACAAUGCAAACACAUGCAUGUCAGUGCAAAUCUCUUUCUCUUCUUACAAAGCCAACAGUCUCAUCAUGGAGGCCUCACCCUGAUGACCUUUAUCUAAUCCUAAUUACCUCCCACAGGCCCACCUCCAAUCAACAUAUGAAUUUGAGGGUGAAGUUUCCAACACAUAAAAUUUAGGGAACACAUUUAAACCACAGGAGAUGAUUAUUUUAAAAAAGGAAAAUAAGUGUUAGAAAUUGGAACCCUCACACACUGGUAUUGGAAAUGUAAACUAAUGCAGCCACUUAGGAAACUAGCAGUUCAUCAAAUGCUUAAACAGUUACUAUAUGACCCAGCAAUUCCACCUGUAGGUACAUACCCAAGAGAAAUGAAAACAUAUGUCCACAUGAAAUCAGUAUGUGCCAGCAUUAUUCACAGACACCAGAAAGUGAAAAUAACCCAAAUAUCUGUUAAUCAACUGGUAAAUGGGAAAAAAAAGGUGACAUAUACAUACAAUGAAAUACUAUUUAGCCAUAAAAAGGAAUGAAGUAUAGACAUCUACUUGGUAUCCAUAGCGGAUUGGUUCCAGGACCUCC